rnacentral:rRNA from 1 species
UACGGGGGGGGCAAGCGUUGUUCGGAAUUACUGGGCGUAAAGGGCUUGUAGGCGGCUUGCUAAGUCAGACGUGAAAGCCCUCGGCUCAACCGGGGAACGGCGUCUGAGACUGGCAAGCUGGAAUCCGGGAGAGGGAUGCGGAAUUCCAGGUGUAGCGGUGAAAUGCGUAGAUAUCUGGAGGAACACCGGUGGCGAAGGCGGCAUCCUGGACCGGCAUUGACGCUGAGGAGCGAAAGCCAGGGGAGCAAACGGG